rnacentral:lncRNA from 10 species
GGGAUUGUAAAUACACCAAUCAGCACCCUGUGUUUAGCUCAAGGUUUGUGAGUGCACCAAUCGACACUCUGUAUCUAGCUGCUCUGGUGAGGACGUGGAGAGUCUUUAUAUCUAGCUCACGGAUUGUAAAUACAACAAUCAGCACCCUGUGUUUAGCUCAAGGUUUGUGAGUGCACCAGUCAACACUCUGUAUCUAGCUGCUCUGGUGAGGACGUGGAGAACCUUUAUGUCUAGCUCAAGGAUUGUAAAUACACCAAUCGGCACUCUGUAUCUAGCUCAAGGUUUGUAAACGCACCAAUCAGCGCCCUGACAAAAUAGGCCACUCGGCUCUACCAAUCAGCAGGAUGUGGGUGGGGCCAGAUAAGAGAAUAAAAGCAGGCUGCCUGAGCCAGCAUUGGCAACCUGCUCGGGUCCCCUUCCACACUGUGGAAGCUUUGUUCUUUCGCUCUUGGCAAUAAAUCUUACUACUGCUCACUCUUUGGGUCCACGCUGCUUUUAUGAGCUGUAACACUCACCGCGAAGGUCUGCAGCUUCACUCCUGAGCCAGCGAGACCACGAACCCACCAGAAGGAAGAAACUCCGAACACAUCUGAACAUCAGAAGGGACAGACUCCAGACGCGCCACCUUAAGAGCUGUAACACUCACCGCGAGGGUCCACGGCUUCAUUCUUGAAGUCAGUGAGACCAAGAACCCACCAAUUCCGGACACAAUGGGAAUACUGUCAGCUCCCCUACUGCCACCACCACCAUUUUUGCUUGUUGAGAAAGGCCCAGUGCCAGCCUCACCUCCUCUAAUACCCCUCCCAAUUAUAAUGACAGCUUUUCUCUCCUCACUCCACAACAGUGUAGGGCAUGAGUUCCUGGCUGCCCCAUAAGGAAGGAAACUGCCAGAAGCCCUUUAGAAUGAAGAAAAGUGAGAAGAUUCUUGGAAAGUGGACUGAGCUUUUAACUCUGCAAGGGACCCUCAGCCCUCUUGGCAUACUGAAGUGAACACUCUGCAGCUAAGCACCACUGAAUCCAGCAGGACUUGAGACUUCAUCAUCUGCCAAAAAUGAGCUUUCCUAACAACAUGGGACCUAUUUGUCUAAAAAUAAACUGUCCUAGCCACAAGAGAUGAGACAAAACCCAAGACCACAGACUCAUUUUCUUCUAAAAUGCUCUGUCUGAAAGAUUUUAAGAAGAAAACGGGAGAGAAAUAUAAAAAGAAAAUAAAAACUUGGGACCCCAAUUCACUAUGCCAAAAGGGAAAAAAUUAAGCUGAAAGCUGAGUAAUGCAAGAAGCUGCCUUUCUUUUUGUUCCUAAGCAAAUAGCUACAGAUAAAAGGUUUAGUAUCUCCACAGGUAGCUACUCUAGGUUCACUUUAUCUUAUGUAAAGUGCUGAUUUGCAGAGCAUGAGAUGAAUACAUAGUUGACCCUUCCCCUAACCGCUCCUUUUCUCUUGCAAUAUGUGGAUUCAGUAAUGUGACCAUACCCUACCUCUUUCCCCUCCAGCCUGCUUUUCCCCAUUAAAUAUUGAAGCCCUCAAAAUAAUACUUGGAGAAAGGCAUAGACAUAUCACCCAGGUGGGUCCUUAACCUUUGCAAAAUAAACUUCUAAAUUGAUUGAGACCUGUCUCAGAUACUUUUUGGUUUACAAUAUAAUAUGAAAAGUAUUCUUUAAUCUGCAUGCAUGGAAAACUAUUCAUACUGGAAAAUAAAAUGUUACCUAACAUAUUUUAAUUAAAAAAAAAUUGCAACCACCUCAAAAUUGAAGAAGUAAAAACUCACAAACAAC